GGGAAUUGCAUGGGUUUUGUAUGGCUUCGUGAGUUGCUAUAUGAAGGAUUAACUGUAUACCAUAAGUAUGAUAUAAUUUUAUUUCAUUUGAGUACUAGACUGCCUUUUACCAUUGUAAAGAAAUUCUACCUUGAUCACAGCCAUCAUUUCGUAUUGAUUACACUGCACCCUUAAACUUUGAGGUCUAUUUGAAUAUUUUCUGAGUCUGAAUGUAAAACUAUUCCCCAUUUGGUAUAUGGCGAAUUACAUUGCUUUUAAUAAUUUUUGCCAUCAGAGAAAAUAUUUAGGCUUUUGUUUAGAUGUAUAAAAAAACAUUCACAUGCACAGACACACAAUGUAUGGAAUUGGACUUCUGAAUUUAGAAUUAAAGUAUCAAAUUCAAACAGCCAAUCUUACGAGUCUGAUCCAAUCUGAAUAUACUAGAUAUUUAAAUUUGAAUUAAAUUCAAAGUUUGUAUGAAAGACCAAUUCUGUGUAACCUAAUGCCAUCCUGAGGAAUCUUAGUUGUAGAAUAUUCAUGAGUAUGAAAAUUGAAAAU
rnacentral:misc_RNA from 1 species